GAAUGAGAGAUAUUGAACUCACCCUGGAGAUCCUCAGCCUGCUGACUGGAGAGAACUGUACAGUAAUAAUGAAGAAAUCUACUGAGAAUGAGACAAGAAGGAGAAGAUCCCCGAGAAUCCAGAAUCCCAUCACCAUCCCCCCACCUCCAUCCCCGAUCCCUACAAGACUCAACACACAGAAGAUUCUAGAAGUCACCAAGAAGAUGAUGGAGCUGCUGACAGGAGAGUAGAUGGACGGGAGAUGAGGAAAACCUCAGAG